rnacentral:rRNA from 1 species
UACAGAGGUCUCAAGCGUUGUUCGGAUUCAUUGGGCGUAAAGGGCGCGUAGGCGGCUUGUUAAGUCGGCUGUGAAAUCCCUGGGCUCAACCCAGGAACUGCGUCCGAUACUGGCAGGCUUGAAUUCGGGAGAGGGAUGCGGAAUUCCAGGUGUAGCGGUGAAAUGCGUAGAUAUCUGGAGGAACACCGGUGGCGAAGGCGGGUCUCUGGACAGUUCCUGACACUGAGACACGAAGGCCAGGGGAGCAAACGGG